rnacentral:lncRNA from 1 species
UUCGAGACGACAUAACACACCAGCGGACGAGACGUAGAUCCCCACCGGUGAUCGCAUUGGUGGUGGCGGCCUCGGAGAUGAAUCGGGCGUCACCAUUCCCGCUCCGUGCAAGGUCAGAAUCUGCUCUGGUCCUCUUUCGAUUCUUUAUGGCGGCAGAAAUCGGCAUCCCGGUUCGUUUUGGAUGAGGAUUAGGGUUUCGACAUGGCUGUAGGGUUUUGUUACGGUCCCUCGAUCGCUGGACGUUCUCCAUCUGUGCUUACGGCGUAAUCCUUUUAGUUUGUUGUCGUUUGUGAUUUAUCCUAUGUUUCAUCUCUGAUCCAAGAAAAUUCAUCCGGGAUUUCGCUACCUGACCCAGAAAAGAGAGGAUGUUGAGGCUUCAAGAUCCAAGGUAUAGGAUCAUUCUGUCACUGUCUUUUUGGCUUGGGCUUGUAGAUUUCUGAGAGAGCCGCGGCAGAAGACUCGCAGAAGGAGGACGAGGUGGCAGGGACAUGUUACCUUCUGCUGCCACCGCAGCGGCCAAGUUGAAGGACCAUCGAUCCGAUCGGCAUCGUGACCGUGUCGUCCGUUGGUCCCGCCGUAGCAGCUUGAAACUUGAACAGAAACAGGCCUCGGCCGGAGCACGUCCAUCAAGCACAGAGACUCCGCCCCCUGCCGCUCAGAUUCCGGUAAGCAGCUUCACAAUGAAUCCCCAUCUACCAUCCCAUGGCCAAGACAUCAUACUGAUGCUUGGUGAGUCACCUUUAUCACUCUGGCAAGGUGGUUUUGAAGACACAACACUCGGGUCUUCAAUCUUCUUCAGAAAGCCCUUUGUCUUCUUAUGGGCUGGAAUUGGUUCGUGUCUCUUGACAAUUCAAGGGCUGCUGAAGCUAAGGCUCUGAAUGAAGAUCUCAUACUUUCGCCUCUUUUUUAAAUUGUCCAUAACAGUUGCAUCGAGAAAAAUGCCCUGUUUAGUGCAGGCAUACAAGAAAUGCUUAAAGAUUAGUCCGUAAAUCACCUUUGGCUUCAAUUGUUUUUCCAAAGCAGACUGAACUUCCAUUUCUUAUUUGCUGAUAUUAGCUCUACAGUUGUGCAUGGGUCGUCUUCUUCCUGCAAUUGUUUUUGGUUAGUCUAUGCCUAGAAUUGUGUGAAAAUGAUCUGUUAUAAUGUCAUCACAUUUUGUUUUUGACAAUCGAUACCGGAAAGCUAGAUGCAUUAUUGCAGUUUAUCACUAGGGUUAGGUAAUUGCCAUGAGAAAGAAAAGCAGAUAUUGGGAACAUGUGAUAUAGAUUAAUACCUGGAGACCCGAGUAUGAUCAAGUCCCUAGAAUUUUGGCAAGUUUAUGGCUAGUUUUGUUGUGUUAUCCAUAUGCCAACAUCUUCAUUUUUUUAAUCUUACACUCUUGUUGAUCUGAAAGCUAUGGUUUAUCGUGACAGGUUCUUUUGCAGUAUGUUAGUAAUGCAUUAGCUUUGUUUCAUUUUGUUACAUAAGCUUGUAACUGAGUUGCUUUGUAUAUGAAUCUCAGCAGAAUAGUUUCAAUCUUGCAAAAUGUGGAUCUGGCUUUUCUUUGUUAUGAACAUAAGUAUAGCAGUCACAUAAUCUUACAUUAUGCUGGUUUUUUUAAUGUGGAUUAUUACCUGAGGAAUUCCUUUCCGACGAAAAAACUUGUGAAGGUAUGAUUUUGAGUCUCCAAGCAACUUUCGUUUCUUUUUCUUUUCUGAGGCAAGCUUUGAGCAACACUUGUGAUUUCUAUUGUUUGGCAAAAAUAGAAUUGGUGUCAUCAGGACUCUAGCUAGGCAGCCACACAGCUUUGGAUUCCAACAUUGAGAAAGCUCUUGGAACUUCCCUAGAAUGA